UCUCUGUUCUAGCACUCUAUACUUCCUUGGCUAGACGGUAGGUAUUAUUCCCCUCUUACUAUGAUAUUUACUGUGUGCUUUAUUAUUCCAGAUCACAGAAGAGCAUAAUGGAUGGGAGCGCAGAUUCCCCCACUUAGCAUUUCUGUAACUUGGGAAAGUUACUUAGUCUUUCUAAACCUCAGUUUUUCAUUUGUAAAAUGGGGAUAAUAAAAGUACAUACCUUGAAGGGUGUGGUAAGGAUUAAAGUCUUUAAUAUACAGAGAGCAUGUAACACUCUGAAAACACAGUUAGUGGGGUAUGGAAAGUGCUUAAUAAUUGCUAGCUUCUUGUAGCUACUGUGUGUCAGGUCCUAUGUUAAGUACUUCAAAUGCAUUAUUUCUUGGACUCAUUAGAAGAACUAUAUUGUUAUUGCUUAUUUGUUCAGCUUUACUGAGGUAUAACUGACAAAUAAAAUUGUAAGAUAUUAAAAAAAUAAUAGUAAAGUAGGGUAAGGAGGGGGCCAGAGAGAUGGCAGAGGUUACUCUGUGCUGUGGACUGAACGUAUGUGUCCCCCCUACAAUUCAUGUUGAAGCCCUAAUCCCUGAUGUGAUGGUAUUUGAAGGUGGGGCCUUUGGGAGGUAAUUAGGUCAUGAGGGUAGAUCCCUCAUGGAUGAGAUCACUGCCCUUAGAAGAAAAGACAUGAGAGAGGUGAUCAUUCUCUCUGUCAUGUGAGGACACAACCAAGAAGAAAGCCCACACCAGGAACCGAACCCGCUGACACCUUGAUCCUGGACUUCCAGCCUCCAGAACUCCCUCCAAACCCCUUUCCAGAGUCAACAAAUUUCCACUCCUAGGUAUUUACCCAAGAGAUGUCACACUUUCUCCAGAGUGGUAGUACCAUUUUGCACCGCCCACGAUGUAGAAGAAUUGCUGGUUGCUCCACAGCCUCGCCAGUACUGGGUUUUGUCAGCCUGUUAAUUUUAGCCAUGCUGGUGAGUAUACAGAGGUACCCCAUUAUAGUUUAAUUUGCAAUUCUUCAUGACUAAUGAUAUUGAAUGCUUUUUUUUUUUUUUUCUGCGUCAUGCAGCUUGCGGCAUCUUAGUUCCCCAACCAGGGAUCCAGCCCAUGCCCCCUGCAGUGGAAGCUAGAGUCCGAACCACUGGACCGCCACGGAAUUCCCUUGAAUGCUUUUUAUGUGCCUAUUAAGACCAUUUGUAGAUAUUCUUUAUGUUCAUAUCUUUAACCAGUUUUUUAACUGCACUGUUUAUCUUUUUAUUAUUGAUUUAUAGGAAGUCUUUAUAUAUUCUGAGUUAUUAACUGACAUAUCUUCUGGAAACCUGUCCUUUGUCUGAAAUAUAUUUUGCAAAUACUUUCUCCUAUUACGUGGCUUGCCUAUGCUUUUUCUUAUUUUCUUUUUUUCUCUCUUCAAGUUCAUUGAUUCUCUGAUUUGAUUUGAUUUGAUUGAUUUUUUGGCUCCACCUCAGGGCACGUGGGACCUUAGCUCCCCACCCAGGGAUGGAUCCUGCGCCCCCUGCACAGGAAGCAAGGAGUCUUAACCACUAGACUGCCAGGGAAGUCCCUGCCUAUGCAUUUUCUUAACUGUGCCUUUUGGUGAGCAAAAAUUCUUGAUGAAAUAUAACAUCACUUUUUCUUAUCAAUUUUUUCUUUUAUGAUUAUUUCUUUUUGUGUCCUGUCCAAAAAGCCUUUACCCAUCCCAAAGAUAUUCUCCUAUGGUUGCUUCUAGAAAGUUUAUAAUUAAUUAUAAAUUAAUUACUAAUUAAUUAUAAUAUUUAGGUCAAUGAUCCAUAUUAUUUAUGGCAUGAGGUAGGGGUCAAAGUUCUUUGUUUUUCAUACGUAUAUUUAGUUGUUCCAACAACAUUGCUUGAAAAGAUUUCCUUUCUUCAAUGGCAUCUUUGUUAAAAGUCAAAUAUCUGUAACAGUGCAGUUCCGUUUCUAGGCUCUCUGUUCUGUUGCUCUAUAUUCUGAUCUAUCCUUAUACUGUCACCACACAGUCUUGAUUAAGCUUAUGUUUAAAAUAUACAUUCCUACACCCCACCCCAGACCUAAUGUAUCAGAAUCAUGGGAGGAAGAGGUCCAGGAAUAUGCAGUUCUAACAAGCUUCCUAGUUGAUUCUUAUACACCCCAAAGUUAGAAAGUAUUACAUUACUUUAACACUCCUUCCUCUAAAACUGAUACAAAUUGGUGAGCUUACAAAUUAGGGUCCCCUUGGAAAGACCAGUGAACUUGGAUUUAGAAAACCUGAGCUCUGUCUCAGAUUUGCUACUCAAUAGCUAUAUUCCAUUUUAUUUACCAUAACCCAGGGCCUAAGUUUUUCAUGUGUAAAAGAAGAGGGUAGGUCUAGACUCAACUGUUCAAGUAUGGAUUGAGUACGUACACUGCCUAGCAAUUGCAGAAAUAAAGAUGAAUACAGUCUAGAUCAGGGCUUUCCAAAAAAGCUUUGUGAAGUGGAAAAUCUACUUUCCAUAUCGUCACCACUAGUCACACGUGGCUUUUAAGUGCUUGAAAUGGGGCUAGUGAGACCAUGGUAUUAAAUUUUUCACUUUAUAUAUUUUUAAGUAAUUUAAAUAGCUACUUGUGGCUAGUGGCUACUGUACUGGACAACACAGGGAAUGUAAAAAAUAAGUUAAAAGGUGAAAGAUGAAUUAAAAGAUUGGUUAAUGAAUGUCAGCUUCCUGGUUUUGGUAUUGUCCUACAGUUAUAAAAGAUGUCACCUUUGGGUGAAGCGGGGUGAAGAGCACAUGGACUCUUUGUACUGUGUUUGUAUCUUCCUUUGAGUCUAUAAUUAUUUUAAAAAUAAAAAGUUUUUCGGGCUUCCCUGGUGGCGCAGUGGUUGAGAGUCCGCCUGCCGAUGCAGGGGAUGCGGGUUCGUGCCCCGGUCCAGGAAGAUCCUACGUGCUGCA